rnacentral:lncRNA from 1 species
GGUUUGACCCGAUUAGGUUAAGAGUUGGCCUAAUCGUCGAGAUGGUUUGCUUUCUGAUUUGAUCAUGGGUUGGGCUUAAUCAAUUUUUGAUUUGAUUAAGAUUUUAUUGAGCCUAAUUAAGCCUAAUUAAGUUAGGUUUAAAUUAGUCUAAUUGGGCCUAACUUAUUUGGUUCAAUUAGGUUGGUUUAAAUAAUGAAACCACCUUGACCC